GUUGUUUGAACCGCAUGGUUCAAACAUAAAAGGUGGCUUCGGCUACCACUUACAGAUGGACCCGCGGCGCAUUAGCUAGUUGGUGAGGUAACGGCUCACCAAGGCGACGAUGCGUAGCCGACCUGAGAGGGUGAUCGGCCACACUGGGACUGAGACACGGCCCAGACUCCUACGGGAGGCAGCAGUAGGGAAUCUUCCGCAAUGGACGAAAGUCUGACGGAGCAACGCCGCGUGAGUGAUGAAGGUUUUCGGAUCGUAAAGCUCUGUUGUUAGGGAAGAACAAGUACCGUUCGAAUAGGGCGGUACCUUGACGGUACCUAACCAGAAAGCCACGGCUAACUACGUGCCAGCAGCCGCGGUAAUACGUAGGUGGCAAGCGUUGUCCGGAAUUAUUGGGCGUAAAGGGCUCGCAGGCGGUUUCUUAAGUCUGAUGUGAAAGCCCCCGGCUCAACCGGGGAGGGUCAUUGGAAACUGGGGAACUUGAGUGCAGAAG
rnacentral:rRNA from 1 species